rnacentral:rRNA from 1 species
UGGGGAAUUUUGGACAAUGGGCGCAAGCCUGAUCCAGCCAUGCCGCGUGAGUGAAGAAGGCCUUCGGGUUGUAAAGCUCUUUCAGUUGGGAAGAAACGAUUGCAACUAAUAAUUGUAAUUAAUGACGGUACCGACAGAAGAAGCACCGGCUAACUACGUGCCAGCAGCCGCGGUAAUACGUAGGGUGCGAGCGUUAAUCGGAAUUACUGGGCGUAAAGGGUGCGCAGGCGGUUUUGUAAGUCAGAUGUGAAAUCCCCGGGCUUAACCUGGGAAUGGCGUUUGAAACUGCAAGGCUAGAGUGUAGCAGAGGGGAGUGGAAUUCCGCGUGUAGCAGUGAAAUGCGUAGAUAUGCGGAGGAACACCGAUGGCGAAGGCAGCUCCCUGGGCUAACGCUGACGCUCA